rnacentral:rRNA from 1 species
UACGGAGGGUGCGAGCGUUGUCCGGAAUCACUGGGCGUAAAGGGCGCGUAGGCGGCCGUGUAAGUCACUUGUGAAAUCCCGGGGCUCAACUCCGGGGCUGCAGGUGAGACUGCGUGGCUAGAGCACGGUAGAGGCGAGUGGAAUUCCCGGUGUAGCGGUGGAAUGCGUAGAGAUGUGGAGGAACACCGAUGGCGAAGGCAGCCCCCUGGGCCAAUACUGACGCUCAUGCACGAAAGCGUGGGGAGCAAACAGG